GAGGGUAUAGCUCAAGUGGUAGAGUGCAUGCUUAGCAUGGAUGAGGUCCUGGAUUCAAUCCCCAGUACUUCCU
rfam:Camelus ferus unplaced genomic scaffold scaffold486, whole genome shotgun sequence.